rnacentral:rRNA from 1 species
ACUUAAAUUGAAGAGUUUGAUCAUGGCUCAGAUUGAACGCUGGCGGCAGGCCUAACACAUGCAAGUCGAGCGGUAGCACAGAGAGCUUGCUCUCGGGUGACGAGCGGCGGACGGGUGAGUAAUGUCUGGGAAACUGCCUGAUGGAGGGGGAUAACUACUGGAAACGGUAGCUAAUACCGCAUAAUGUCGCAAGACCAAAGAGGGGGACCUUCGGGCCUCUUGCCAUCAGAUGUGCCCAGAUGGGAUUAGCUAGUAGGUGGGGUAACGGCUCACCUAGGCGACGAUCCCUAGCUGGUCUGAGAGGAUGACCAGCCACACUGGAACUGAGACACGGUCCAGACUCCUACGGGAGGCAGCAGUGGGGAAUAUUGCACAAUGGGCGCAAGCCUGAUGCAGCCAUGCCGCGUGUAUGAAGAAGGCCUUCGGGUUGUAAAGUACUUUCAGCGGGGAGGAAGGCGAUAAGGUUAAUAACCUUGUCGAUUGACGUUACCCGCAGAAGAAGCACCGGCUAACUCCGUGCCAGCAGCCGCGGUAAUACGGAGGGUGCAAGCGUUAAUCGGAAUUACUGGGCGUAAAGCGCACGCAGGCGGUCUGUCAAGUCGGAUGUGAAAUCCCCGGGCUCAACCUGGGAACUGCAUUCGAAACUGGCAGGCUAGAGUCUUGUAGAGGGGGGUAGAAUUCCAGGUGUAGCGGUGAAAUGCGUAGAGAUCUGGAGGAAUACCGGUGGCGAAGGCGGCCCCCUGGACAAAGACUGACGCUCAGGUGCGAAAGCGUGGGGAGCAAACAGGAUUAGAUACCCUGGUAGUCCACGCCGUAAACGAUGUCGACUUGGAGGUUGUGCCCUUGAGGCGUGGCUUCCGGAGCUAACGCGUUAAGUCGACCGCCUGGGGAGUACGGCCGCAAGGUUAAAACUCAAAUGAAUUGACGGGGGCCCGCACAAGCGGUGGAGCAUGUGGUUUAAUUCGAUGCAACGCGAAGAACCUUACCUACUCUUGACAUCCAGAGAACUUUCCAGAGAUGGAUUGGUGCCUUCGGGAACUCUGAGACAGGUGCUGCAUGGCUGUCGUCAGCUCGUGUUGUGAAAUGUUGGGUUAAGUCCCGCAACGAGCGCAACCCUUAUCCUUUGUUGCCAGCGGUCCGGCCGGGAACUCAAAGGAGACUGCCAGUGAUAAACUGGAGGAAGGUGGGGAUGACGUCAAGUCAUCAUGGCCCUUACGAGUAGGGCUACACACGUGCUACAAUGGCGCAUACAAAGAGAAGCGACCUCGCGAGAGCAAGCGGACCUCAUAAAGUGCGUCGUAGUCCGGAUUGGAGUCUGCAACUCGACUCCAUGAAGUCGGAAUCGCUAGUAAUCGUAGAUCAGAAUGCUACGGUGAAUACGUUCCCGGGCCUUGUACACACCGCCCGUCACACCAUGGGAGUGGGUUGCAAAAGAAGUAGGUAGCUUAACCUUCGGGAGGGCGCUUACCACUUUGUGAUUCAUGACUGGGGUGAAGUCGUAACAAGGUAACCGUAGGGGAACCUGCGGUUGGAUCACCUCCUUACCUUAAAGAA